AUUGAACGCUGGCGGCAGGCUUAACACAUGCAAGUCGAACGAGUGGCGGACGGGUGAGUAAUGCUUGGGAAUCCAGCUUAUGGAGGGGGAUCACUACGGGAAACGGUAUCUAAUACCGCAUACCCUCGGAUGUGCCCAGAUGGGAAUAGCGAGACGGGGGGGUAACGCCUAACCUAGGCGACGAUCCCUAGCUGGUCUGAGAGGAUGACCAGCAACAUGGGAACUGAGACAGGGUCCAGACUCCUAGGGGAGGAAGCAUUGGGGAAUAUUGGACAAUGGGCGAAAGCCUGAUGCAGCAAUGCCGCGUGUAUGAAGAAGGCCUUCGGGUUGGAAAGUACUUUCAGCGAGGAGGCGUUACUCGCAGAAGAAGCACCGGCUAACUCCGUGCCAGCAGCCGCGGUAAUAC
rnacentral:rRNA from 1 species